UUGGAAUUCAAGCAUAAAAAGCACAUAUCCUUUUCAUUUCAAGUGUCCAUGAAUUCAUUCGUUCAAGUUCAUUCCAAGGAACUAUCAAAGUGUCAUUCAUCAUUUUUUCAACUUUAUUUCACAAGUCCAAGUUCAAAUUCAAAUGUGCAAACUCAGAAUUCAUUCAAGAUUCAUCAUUCUUCAUUCAAUUUCAAAUCAAUAUAUAUAUAUAUAUUCACCAUUCAAAAAAUACAAGGUCAAAUAUCUUUCAUCAUCAAGUUUUUCUACAACAAAUAUUCAUUACAACUUCAUGUUUUAGAAAGGAGCUUUCACUACUAG